rnacentral:rRNA from 1 species
CCCUUAGAUGUUCUGGGCUGCACGCGUGCUACACUGAUAUUGCCAAUAUGUCAUUCUUAUCCGAAAUAGAUUGGGUAAUCAAGUAAUGAAAUUUCAUGCUUGGAAUCGGUAAUUGCAAUUUUAUCGUGAACGAGGAAUUCCUAGUAAGCACUAGUCAUCAGCUAAUGUUGAUUAUGUCCCUGCCCUUUGUACACACCGCCCGUCGCUACUACUGAUUGGGUGUUCAAGUGAGAUGCUUAGACCCUUGUUGCAUGGUUCAUUAUUGUGCUCCGAAAGGAAAAAGUUUCAAGCUUGAGUGUCUAGAGGAAGUAAAAGUCGUAACA